GACGUAGGGCGCAAGCGUUGUCCGGAAUUAUUGGGCGUAAAGAGCUCGUAGGCGGCUUGUUGCGUCGACUGUGAAAACCCGUGGCUCAACCAUGUGGUCUGCAGUCGAUACGGGCAGGCUAGAAUUCGGUAGGGGAGACUGGAAUUCCUGGUGUAGCGGUGAAAUGCGCAGAUAUCAGGAGGAACACCGGUGGCGAAGGCGGGUCUCUGGGCCGAUAUUGACGCUGAGGAGCGAAAGCGUGGGAGCGAACAGG
rnacentral:rRNA from 1 species